GCCUAAUACAUGCAAGUCGAGCGGAGUUGAUGAGGCUUGCUUCUCUGAUGCUUAGCGGCGGACGGGUGAGUAACACGUAGGUAACCUGCCUGUAAGACUGGGAUAACUACCGGAAACGGUAGCUAAUACCGGAUAAUUUAUUUCUCUCCUGGGGAGAUAAUGAAAGACGGAGCAAUCUGUCACUUACAGAUGGGCCUGCGGCGCAUUAGCUAGUUGGUGAGGUAACGGCUCACCAAGGCGACGAUGCGUAGCCGACCUGAGAGGGUGAACGGCCACACUGGGACUGAGACACGGCCCAGACUCCUACGGGAGGCAGCAGUAGGGAAUCUUCCGCAAUGGACGAAAGUCUGACGGAGCAACGCCGCGUGAGUGAUGAAGGUUUUCGGAUCGUAAAGCUCUGUUGCCAGGGAAGAACGUCCGGUAGAGUAACUGCUACCGGAGUGACGGUACCUGAGAAGAAAGCCCCGGCUAACUACGUGCCAGCAGCCGCGGUAAUACGUAGGGGGCAAGCGUUGUCCGGAAUUAUUGGGCGUAAAGCGCGCGCAGGCGGUCACUUAAGUCUGGUGUUUAAGGCCAAGGCUCAACCUUGGUUCGCACUGGAAACUGGGUGA
rnacentral:rRNA from 1 species